UGCGGAGGAUGCGAGCGUUGUCCGGAUUUACUGGGUUUAAAGGGUGCGUAGGCGGGUGGAUAAGUCAGAGUUGAAAGGCAGUCGCUCAACGAUUGUAAGGCUUUGAUACUGUUCAUCUUGAGUGUAGGGGAGGCAGAUGGAACGGGUGGAGUAGCGGUGAAAUGCAUAGAUACCAUCCAGAACACCGAUUGCGGAGGCAGUCUGCUACACUACAACUGACGCUGAGGCUCGAAAGCGUGGGGAUCAAACAGG
rnacentral:rRNA from 1 species